rnacentral:rRNA from 1 species
UACGAAGGGGGCUAGCGUUGUUCGGAAUUACUGGGCGUAAAGCGCGCGCAGGCGGUCCUUUAAGUCGGGGGUGAAAGCCCAGAGCUCAACUCUGGAACUGCCUUCGAAACUAGAGGACCUGGGUACGGGAGAGGUGAGUGGAAUUCCGAGUGUAGAGGUGAAAUUCGUAGAUAUUCGGAAGAACACCAGUGGCGAAGGCGGCUCACUGGCCCGUUACCGACGCUCAGGCGCGACAGCGUGGGGAGCAAACAGG